CAGUCGAGGGGCAGCGGGGAGCAAGCUUGCUUGCUCUGCCGGCGACCGGCGCACGGGUGAGUAACACGUAUGCAACCUGCCCUCCGCAGGGGGAUAACCCGGAGAAAUCCGGACUAAUACCGCGUGGUACACUUGUGGGGCAUCCCACGGGUGUUAAAAGGAAGUGAUUCCGGCGGAGGAUGGGCAUGCGGCGCAUUAGCUGGUUGGCGGGGUAACGGCCCACCAAGGCGACGAUGCGUAGGGGUUCUGAGAGGAAGGUCCCCCACACUGGUACUGAGACACGGACCAGACUCCUACGGGAGGCAGCAGUGAGGAAUAUUGGUCAAUGGGCGGGAGCCUGAACCAGCCAAGUCGCGUGAGGGAAGACGGUCCUAUGGAUUGUAAACCUCUUUAGGCGGGGAGCAAUGCCGGGCACGCGUGCCCGGAGGGAGAGUACCCGCAGAAUAAGCAUCGGCUAACUCCGUGCCAGCAGCCGCGGUAAUACGGAGGAUGCGAGCGUUAUCCGGAUUUAUUGGGUUUAAAGGGUGCGUAGGCGGAUUUUUAAGUCAGCGGUAAAAUGUCCGGGCUCAACCCGGGCCGGCCGUUGAAACUGGGGAUCUUGAGUGGGCGAGAAGUAUGCGGAAUGCGUGGUGUAGCGGUGAAAUGCAUAGAUAUCACGCAGAACUCCGAUUGCGAAGGCAGCAUACCGGCGCCCGACUGACGCUGAGGCACGAAAGCGUGGGGAUC
rnacentral:rRNA from 1 species